CGAGGACACCGUGCCAUCGCAACUUCUGCCCGCGCCUAUUCACCCCGCGCCGCCGCCUCUCCCCGCCCCGCCACGUGCGGACCCCGGGCGGCGUUUUCCCUGGAAACCGCUCGCGGUCGGCCCGCUUCCCGCCCUGCCCGGCCGGGCUGCGGCGGGGCGGAGAGCGGGGUAGCUCCCUCCUUCCCCCCGCAUCCCUCCGGCUACUCUGUCACUUGGGCAGCAUGAAGGCGGGAGCCGAGGGAGGAGCCUCCCUCCGCUCAGGGUCUCUUUGGUGGUCCCUGCUGGUCACUGACCCCAGACUCAUACCUGACCACCUGGUGAACUGGUAAAAAGUUGGCACAACUAGGCUGGUUGCUUUCCAUUCUUCUUCCUACAGAAUGCAGCAAUAUUAUCCUCUGUGAUCAUCCAGUUAAGCAGUCACAUUUGGAAUGUGCACGCAGCAAUUACUAUUGUUUCAAUUCAAGCAAGUACAUACUUCAUAUAACAGCCAUAGAUCUAAAGCCAAUCUAUUUUGUAUGGUCAUUUUAGCUGUAGCUUGCAACUGUUCAUUUAUUUCAGCAAACCCCAAGUGAGUUGCAUUUGCUAAGGUUUCCAUUUGUAGAGUCAAAUUGUUUAUGGCUAGUCUAUUCCUAAAGGCAGAUAAUUGAGGAGUAAAGAUAGAAUCUGAAGUCCAUCUCACUAUAAUAAUCUGCAUACUGGGAUGUUUCCAAGUUUCAUUAUGCUUAACUUCUCCCCAGAGCUGGGUUCCCAAUGGUGACUCGUUCCACAAGGGACAUAAUGUUAGUACUCCUAGUGUCCACUGUGCUCUUGAUUCUCCUACUGGUAAAUAUGCGGUCCAAAUUCCAUUACUUCGUACCUAUGCUGUGGGUCCUAAUGAUUUUAUGAUGUCCAGCAGACAGUCUGGAUCUCUCCAAGUCUCGUCGUUUGUUAGGUGAGACCAGUGUCAUUAAGAAAGGAGAAUAAUUUCUGCAAACACAUCCCAGCCUCACAGCUUGGGCCACAGACAUGAGCUGCUGUACCUCAGGAUUCCUACAAUGCAAGCAGGUAUUUGAGUGCAAUUCCACUUUUCCUUUCUAUUUCUCUAUUUCUCAAAGUGUUUCCUGAUAUUUUUAAUUCUAUUAUCUUAUCCUUUAAUUGUGGAGGUGCAAUUACCUGCCCACAUGAAGUUACCAA